rnacentral:misc_RNA from 1 species
CCGGUCCAACUGAAAUACCAGGGGAUGAAGGCGAGCAGCGCGACCAGAUGGUAAAACAGGAUGGGGAGGGCGGCCCCCCAUUCGAUGCGGUUGAGAUUGACCCCUGCGGGCAGCGGCAGACGGCCGGACAAUCCGGGCUCCGCGGUGCCGGGGAGGGGGACGGCUUUCGCGGCCGCCGGACGAUUGUUAGUCAUUUCAGCG